GAAGGAGUGCUGAUUGCUGGAACA
rnacentral:siRNA from 1 species